UCUCAAACAUCGCGCUCUUUCCCUUUCAGGACUUUGGCCCUGGCUGCUCCCCCUGCCUCAGAUACUAUUAAUAUUUGCCCAGAUCUUUGUACAAUUUGUUUCUUUUCAUUCAGGUUACCCCUCCCAGAGAGGCCUUUUCUAACUGCUCCGGCAAGGGUAGCUGGGGCUCUGCCACACUGCUCUGUUUCAUUUUCAUCAUGGCAUUCAUUACCAAUUAAUAUUUCCUGGUUUAUCUGUCUGUUGGCUGUCUCUCCGUACUCGACUGUCAGCUCCGGGGAGCAGGGACCUGUCUGUGCUGUGCUCUGCUGCAGCACGAAGAGCCGGACUCACGGAAAAUGACUGGCUUCAGCGACCCUGUUAAUAGACGCAAAGUCGAGGGCGGCGCCUGCUCCAUAGGAGAGAUCCGAGGAAGAUAAAGCUCAAAGAGGCUUAUUAGCCCACCGGAGUCCUCGCAUUUGUUGUUGUAGGCAAUUAAUGAAAUAAAACAUCCUACCAAGGGAGUAGAAGAAACCUGCAGGUCGGGUUUUACGGACAGAGUCAACUUCCACGCUGCCGACUCACUCUCCAGGACUCCACAGCUGUAUUUGGUGCAAGUUUUCUCUGAAAUUUCCCAGUGCCGUUGCAAAUAUAAACACAUAAACAUAUAAACAUAUCUUCUUCUUUUCCCCUUUUGUUUGUAAAGAAAAAAAUGCAAUGCUGCUCUCUGUAUUGAUGUGCAGUUGGCUGCUUUUAGUGUAACCACUAUCCUAGACAUCUGUCCAGGUGAACACACAAAGACCGCAGCAUUCUGUUUAUUUUUUGAACAGUUUUAUUGAGGUAUAAUUUACACACCAUAAAAUUCACUCAUUCAAGUAUACAAUUCAAAAGUGUACAACUUAUUUGUAGACAAUUCACAGAGUUGUACAACCAUCGCACAAUCCAAUGUUAGAUCAUUUUCGUCACCCCUGAAAAAAACCUCAUGCUCACCUGUGGUCAUUCUUCUUCAGCCCUAGGCGACCACUCAUCUACUUUCUGUCUCCACGGAUUUGCCUAUUUUGUACAUUUCAUGUAAAUAGAAUCCUACUAUA